AAAUGUUUAGCAUAAUGCCUGGGAAAUAUAGUAGGCACUUAAUGUAUGCUUAUAACUCUGUUUCCUCCUCCCCUAUACCUCUGUCUGAGGUGUUAGCACAUUCCCUGAUAGAUUCUAAAGUACAAAUCAUAAAUCCACGAAUCCCAGUUUCUAAAAUAUCCUCACAAAUUGGCCUGACCGCAUCAAGAUCACUUUUGUUCUUUUAUAUGUUCCCUUUCAAAUGAUAAUUCACAUUUCUUGAGCCACCUCCUCAAAUGACUUACACUUUAAAGAAAUGAUUCCAUUUCUACUUAAACUGUUCUAGCUUUUACCAUCUUCUCUGUAUUCAAUUAACUAUAUCUCUUCUAACAAAUUAAAUAUAUUUUUAUUCUGCUGCAUCAACCUAGUAAACCUGUAACCAUUAUUGAUGUAAUGUGACUGGAGGGUCCGCUGACCUUGGGGCUAAUGUUCUAAUGAUUCCUGGGUCUUCUGGCUUUGGAAUCUGCCUCUGGACACUGAGCACUGUCCAGUCUACCUGAAGACCACUUUUUAUUCAUCUGGAGAUUACUUCCUAAGCUUACCCUUGGGUCACACAAUUAACAUAUCUGUAAUUGAAAGCUGUAUAGGGGUAUCACCUUGGUACCAUCUCUUUACUGGAUUCUAUUUAGAAUUCAUUCUGCUCAGUAAUGGCAUCACAUUGCUUUUAAUGAAAUCUUUGUCCCUUGACUAGAUGGGUUCAAGCCUGCAAAUUCUUUUGAGAUCCCUCAGAUACUGGUCUGGGACUUUUGGCGUCCCCCUUCUCAACCUCAACCUUAUAACAUAAUUCUCAUGACAAAAGUGUAGCUCUCACCAGUCACCAAAGACCUCCCCCCCAAAAAAGUCUUCCAUUUUAUGUAUUUGUUAUACAUUUAUAGUGGUGAGCCUAAUCUCCAGAGGACAGAUGAAUAUACUGUGUUCUAAGGGUAAUCUUGAAGAAUUGAAAGUAAUUUCUGCAUUCACAAAGCCCCAUCUGGCAUGUUAUACCACUGACUAGUAGGCAGCAGGACCACCAGUUUUCUUUUAAAAAGGGACAUUUUUAGUUAUAUGUUGUAAAAAAAACAGUUGGUACAAAAUGCAUCCCCACAAAGGGGAUGUCAAUGGCAAGGUUCUUGGGGAGAGUGUUCUCAAGCUUAGAACAUGUACAAAUGUGAUUCAGACUUUCACUUCUGUGCUGAGAAGUCCUCAAGUUCUUCGUGGGUGGGCAAUGCUCUCUGUUCUGUGUGACUCAUUGAAUUUUGAGGCUGUCUAAUGGAUCCUCAGCUCCAGAUGCAGAUUAUGCUUUCAGCCCAAACUUUCUAGGGGCACAGAUUGGAAAUCUGUAUCCUCUAAUCUAUUAAAGUUCACUUGGUAAUCUUAGGCAAAACAUUAACCCUCCCUGAAUCUCAAUUUUAUUAGCUGUAAAAUGAAAGGACUGAACUCUUAGACCUCUAUAUCUGUUUUUCAUUUCAUGGCUCCAGUUACCUGAAAUUACUCCUCUUUUACCUGAAAUCCACUCAGUCGUGGACUCCAACUUCUGGCUUUCUAAAAGUCCCAGCUAAAAUCCUACCUUCUAGAGGAAACCUUUCCCAAUUCAUCUCAAUUGAUACAUUUUCCCUCAUUUUAAUUAUUUCCUAUUUAUUUUGCAUAAAAUGUAUUUGUACAUAAGUGUUGGCUUAUUGUCUCCCCAUUAAAUUGUGAGAACCUCAAGAGCAGGGGGUUGCCUUUUGCCUUUCUUUUUAUCCCCAGGGUUUGGCACUGUGGCCUGGCUCAGUACUUAAUAAAUGUUAUUAUUGACUGACUGAUUGAAACAAAGCUUCCCAUAUGCAAGUCUGUUAUUGAAAAACAGAAUUCAGGAUUUAAAUCACUGGGAGUUAUUCUUCUCUUCUAACUUAUGAAUAGCUAGAUAAUUUGUUUGGCACUUAGAAUUGACUUGUGUUUUUUGUGAAUUACUUUUGCACAGAUCCUCAAAGACAAACUACUGUCAAAAAAUGAUGACUCCGGGAAAGAAGAUAAAAAGAUGAGGAAACUAAGGCAAAUAAGGUUAAGUGAUCCUUAACACAAGCUAGUAAGAGUCCGUGGCUGAACUCAUGCAGAUAAGUUUUCCUGAUUCCCACCCCGGGACUCUGUGGGUUGUGUGGCCCAACUGCCUAAGACAGCACUUAGGAACUCAUCUAUCCCGUUGGACCUUACAGAUGAAGGAAGUAAAUGGUUUUCCGAUAUAACAAUAUGUGCUCUACGUUCCAGAAAGUGGUCAUACAGUUUUCAGUAAAGGAUGUGAUCAUUUGGACUGAUCCUGAGUGAAGUGAGCAGAACCAGGAGAACAUUGGACUCUGUAAUAAGAAGAUUAUGUGAUGAUCAACUGAGAUCGGCUUGUCUCUUCUCAGCAGCACAUUGAUCCAAGGCAACUCCAAUAGACUUGGUAUGGAAAAUGUCACCUGUAUUUGGAGAAAGAACUAUAGAGACUAAUUACGAAUAGAAGCAAAUUAUUUUCA